rnacentral:rRNA from 1 species
AGAGUUUGAUCCUGGCUCAGGAUGAAUGCUGGCGGUGUGCCUUAAGCAUGCAAGUUGAACGGAAUCUUCACCUUCGGGUGAUAGAACGAGUGGCAGACGGGUGAGUAACGCGUAGGAAUCUACCUUAAAGUGGGGAAUAGCUCAGCGAAAGUUGGGGUAAUACCGCGUAGUCCCUUCGGGGUAAAGCCUUCGGGCGCUUUAAGAGGAGCCUGCGUCCUAUCAGGUUGUUGGUGAGGUAAUGGCUCACCAAGCCGAUGACGGGUAGCCGGUGUGAGAGCACGACCGGCCACAAGGUCACUGAGACACGGGGCCUACACCUACGGGUGGCAGCAACCGGGAAUAUUGCGCAAUGGGCGAAAGCCUGACGCAGCGACACCGCGUGUGGGAAGAAGCUCUUCGGAGUGUAAACCACUGUGGCAGGGGAAGAAUUCUGACUGUACCCUGCUAGAAAGCACCUGCUAACUACGUGCCAGAAGCCUCGGUAAUACGUAGGGUGCAAGCGUUAUCCGGAUUUAUUGGGCGUAAAGAGUUCCGUCGGCGUCUUGGUAAGUUACUUGUUUAAGCCUGGGGCUUAACUCCAGAUCAGCAAGUAAAACUACCAGGAUUGAGUUUGUUCGGGGAAGCUAGAAUUCUCGGUGGAGGGGUGAAAUCCGUAGAUAUCGAGAGGAAUACCAGUCGCGAAGGCGGGCUUCUAGGACAACACUGACGCUCAGGGACGAAAGCUCGGGUAGCAAAAGGGAUUAGAGACCCCUGUAGUCCGAGCCGUAAACUAUCCUUGCUAGCUGCCUGCUGUACUUUUAAAAGUAUGGGUGGCGCAAGCUAACGCGUUAAGCAAGGCGCCUGGGGAGUACGACCGCAAGGUUAAAACUCAAAGGAAUUGACGGGGGAGCGCACAACCGGUGGAGCAUGUGGUUUAAUUCGAUACAAAGCGAAGGACCUUACCUGGGUUUGACAUGUACCUGCACGUUCUGGGAAACCAGAAUUUCUUCGAGAGUGGUACACAGGUGAUGCAUGGCUGUCGUCAGCUCGUGUCGUGAGACGUCCACUUAAGUGUGGUAACGAGCGCAACCCUUGCUGUCAGUUACAAGUGUCUGACAGGACUGCCCCGCGUAUUACGGGGAGGAAGGAGAGGACGACGUCAAGUCAGCAUGUCCCUUACAUCCAGGGCGACACACAUCCUACAAUGGAGCCGACAACGGGUAGCGACGGGGUAACCCUGAGCCAAUCCUUCUAAACGGCUCCUCAGUUCGGAUUGAGGGCUGCAAUUCGCCCUCAUGAAGCCGGAAUCGGUAGUAAUUGCAAAUCAGCAGGUUGCGGUGAAUACGUUCUCGCUCCUUGUACACACUGCCCGUCAAGCCAGCAAAGUCAGCAAUGCCCGAAGCGGGUGACCAGAACCAUUAUGAGACUGGCCCUUCUACGGCAAGGUCGGCGAUGAGGACUAAGUCGUAACAAGGUAGCCGUA